rnacentral:tRNA from 1 species
ACCUGGGUGUCUCAUUUGGUUAAGUACCUGACUUUGGCUCAGGUCAUGAUGUCGCGGUUCGUGGGUUCGAGCCCCACAUCAGGCU